CAUAGAUAGAGACGUCUUAUCCCACUUAUCUACUGCUGCUACUGGGGAUCCUCCUGAUCUUUAGCCAAGGUUCUUAUGGGCAGAUUUUACAUACUCGGUCUCCAGAUUAUGACUCUGUGUCACCAGGAAAAACUGUCACCAUCACAUGUAAAGCCAGUAGCAGUGUUAGCAGCCCAAUCAGCAGAAUGGAAGAAGAAGAUGCAGCAGAUUAUUACUGUCAGCAGUAUAGGAGUGACCCUCUCACCCAGUGAUACAGAGCUGAACAAAAACCUUCCUCUUUCAGUUUGAAUGCAGAUCAGACUAAAACAUGAAGAUGAAAUAAAGGACUCAUUGUACCAGAA